GAGCAUAUGAUGUUAUAAGGAGAUGCUACUGAGAUUUUACGCUGUUGAAGUAUCUUAAACCGAGCUUUUUAAAACUGAUGCUUG
rfam:Triticum aestivum genome assembly, contig: Triticum_aestivum_CS42_TGACv1_scaffold_327867_4BS